CACACUGUAAUAAUGAGCUUUAAUUCUCUAUCCAAGCAGAACUUGAGCAAUAAUAAUAAGCACAUCAGAACAAUUUGUUUACUGUGGCAUUGCACAGGCUGCAGGGUCCAAGACUAGCUCCAAUAAACGGUAAAAACCAAAGGAAACUCUCUAGAACGGGAAAAAUAUUGCGAUAGAAAAGUGGUUUUGGCUUUCAAGGAAAGAGGCACUUGGCUAGCAUUUUAGCUGGGAUGUUUUGCCCUUGUCCAAGCAGUCUUUAUUUGGCAACUAAUUUUUAAAAAGGUUAACCUGAAAAGUCGCUGUGUCAUGCAGUACCUUAUUCUGCAUGAUAAGCUAAGCUCUGGAGACUCGCCAUCAGCAUGGAGGAGGUGCCGGGAGCCUGGCCGGAGGGUGAGCUACUGCCCAGUGGGAAAGAUCCUGCCAAGUGACCUGGUGUAAGCUGCCAGUCUGAGGGGUGUAAUCCUGCAAGCGUUUGAUCCAGCGGCUUUGCUUACACUAUGGAGGUAACUCGUGCGUUGAAAGCUGAAAUUCAGCAGAAGCUGAUGCGACCACCAUGGAGAAACACUGGUUCACCGCACUGGCUAGUACCAGCUUGAUCUGGCUCCGGCUCCGGGAUGUGCAGCCUACAGACACAAUAAUGAAAAGAAAUAUUCUGAAAAGGAUGAGUCAGCUGGAGGCCGGUGGGGAGAGCGUGCGGGAUCUGACUGGAAUUUAAAAAGUUAGGAGGCUACAUGUUGUUUUGAGCCCUGCCAGUGGAGAAACUCAUACCCAUGAAAUGCUUUGUCAUCUGGCAUAAUAAUGUUACUUUGAUGAUUAGUUGGUAAACUCUUUUCAAAAUGUUUUUAAACAAUAGUUAAGUUCAUGAAAUAUAAAACCUUCCUGCUGACACCACCGACAAGAGCCUGCUUUAGAUGUUAUUGUGAACUCUCUUCCCCAGAACCCCACCAGACUACUGAACAGCUGUGAAAUCGUUCUUUUACUACGUAUUAGAUGAUUUAACCAUUAAAAGAGUUGAGGUAGCUUCACACCUUCACUUCUGUACUGUAAGAACAUCUACGCUGAUGUGAGCUGUACACCCACAGUUGUAACGCAAAUCUUAUUUCUUGCUUUUUGUAUGUUUGCACCGAUCGAGACAGCAGCAGUUUGGUGUGAAGCUUCUUCACUCACUCCUCCAGCCGGGUACCAGCACAUCCUUCCUGCCUUCACCGGAAAGCAGCGCCUGGCAUUUGGGUAAUUAGCAGGACAGAUAACGUCCAAAGAUUUGUGGUUUUGACUGUAAGGUUCUUUAAAUAAAUGAC